rnacentral:lncRNA from 1 species
UUUCCCUUUCUUUAUAUGGAAGUGAAUGUCACUGCUAAGAGUUAAUACGGAAGUAAAUUCGUUGUUGCAAAAUUGAGAAUAUUACAAUGAAUGAUUGAAAGCACAAGACAUGAUAGGAUAGGAUUAGGAACAUGCAUACUAGAGAGAAAGUUAGCAUAGCAUUUAAUGUGGAAAUAUGGUAGAAUAUCACCUUGAGUGAUUUGUACACGCGUGGAGAAUAUAUGUAGAAGCUUCAAUAUGGAGAGUAGAAUCAGUAGAUCAGAUGGAGAAUUUGGCAAUAGUUAGAGGUAUAAUUAGGCCAAAAAGCUACAGCAGUGUGAGAUUUGACUCAUUCUCUACCCACAUUCUCUACCCUCC